rnacentral:lncRNA from 1 species
AGUAAGUCUGUGGUUUAAAUUCUGUCAUUGGCUUAACAAUCCAUCACCAUUGCUAAAGUGCAAUUCCAAUUUAUAUUCAACAGAGUUGCAUAUUAGCAACAGUAAUGGCCUGUAGCCAAGAACUGCACACAGUGUGGGCGUUAACGCAAUUGCUGAUUAGGUAGGAACCACCACACUCAAACAUGGAAGCACUUAUUUUUGUCAUGUCACAGCAAGUGCCUCCAUGUUAAAGUAGAGGGGGCCCCUUAACAGAUGUAAAAAUACAAAAUAAAGCUUAAAUAUAUGAGCUGCGGUCAAUACAAUAAAGUUAUUUUCUAAAAAAAUAAUAAAAAUGUAAAAGGAAGACUUACCAUCACCAAAACAUGGAAGCACUUACUUCUUUAGUUUCAAAGCAAGUACAUCCACGUUUAAGUGGUGGGGAGCCCAGUCUUGGAAAAAGUUAGAAUCCUUUAACCUGUAACAAGCUUAGUAACCUUAAAACACAAUAACAAAAAAAUUUUGUAACAAAAGGUGUGCUGGCUUGGAGACACCUCCACUGAAACAUGGAAGCACUUACUUUUGUUUCACACAGCAGGUACCCCCAUGUUAAAGCAAAGGGGAUCCCUUCAAAUGAGGUUAGCGUGUUCUAUUUUGGAGAAGUAAAUUGGAUUCACUCCUACUAAAACAUGGAAGCACUUACUUUUAAAGUCACAGAAAGCACUUCCAUGUUAAAGUUGAAGGGAGCCCACCCAACAUACAACUUCUUUGGACUUCAGAGUAUUUAGAGCUGAGGAGAAAGAAAACAAAAUGGCAUAACUUUAGAAGAAAAAAAUUUUUUUACCUUCCUGAACUAGUUCCCAAA